GUAGGGAAUCUUCCACAAUGGACGAAAGUCUGAUGGAGCAACGCCGCGUGAGUGAAGAAGGUCUUCGGAUCGUAAAACUCUGUUGUUAGAGAAGAACGUGCAUGAUAGUAACUGAUCAUGUAAUGACGGUAUCUAACCAGAAAGCCACGGCUAACUACGUGCCAGCAGCCGCGGUAAUACGUAGGUGGCAAGCGUUGUCCGGAAUUAUUGGGCGUAAAGCGCGCGCAGGCGGGAUAUCAAGUCUGUCUUAAAAGUGCGAGGCUCAACCUCGUGAGGGGACAGAAACUGGUAUUCUUGAGUGUCGGAGAGGAAAGUGGAAUUCCAAGUGUAGCGGUGAAAUGCGUAGAUAUCGGGAGGAACACCAGUGGCGAAGGCGGCUUCCUGGCACAAUACUGACGCUCAUGUGCGAAAGCUAGGGCAGCGAACGGGAUUAGAUACCCUUGUAGUCC
rnacentral:rRNA from 1 species